rnacentral:rRNA from 1 species
UUUCCGGUUGAUCCUGCCGGAGGUCACUGCUAUUGGGAUUCGACUAAGCCAUGCGAGUCGAGAGGGUUCGGCCCUCGGACUGACGGCUCAGAAACACGUGGAUAAUCUGCCCUAAGGUGGAGGAUAACCAUCGGGAAACUGAGAAUAAUACUCCAUAGGUCUAGGAUACUGGAAUGUUCUAAGACUCAAAACUUCGGUGCCUUAGGAUGAGUCUGCGGACUAUCAGGUUGUAGACAGGGUAAUGACCUGACUAGCCUACGACGGAUACGGGUUGUGAGAACAAUAAACCCGGAGAUGAUAUCUGAGACACGAUAUCAGGACCUAAGGGGCGCAACAGGCGCGAACACUUCACACUGCGCGAAAGCGCGAUGAGGGAGUCCCCAGUGCAUGCCACGUAAGAGUAUGCUG